AAGUAACACACCAAAUCUAAAUAUUAGUGAGAAAAAUUGCAGUUAGAUAUUUUGUCUAAAUUGCCCAGCCCUAAUCCUGACUGACGCUACCUUUUAUGUGUUUUCAGGUUACUGUUUUCUACUGUACAGCCAGACAGAUAUGUGAGGUGUGCCUUCCAUUUUAAACCUCCAAUGUUGUGGGAACCAAGGUUGUCACCUGCAAUGGCGCACAAGGUUCCUUUGCAGACUGUUCCAUUAGACCACAAACGGGCUUAUCCUUCUCGCAGAUAGUUCUGCCACAGUGACUGAUGUUGAGAAGACACUCACCCUACCCUCGACUCCUCGUCUAAUACUGCUUGGU